UACGUAGGGUGCGAGCGUUGUCCGGAAUUACUGGGCGUAAAGAGCUCGUAGGUGGUUUGUCGCGUUGUUCGUGAAAACCGGGGGCUUAACCCUCGGCGUGCGGGCGAUACGGGCAGACUUGAGUACUGCAGGGGAGACUGGAAUUCCUGGUGUAGCGGUGAAAUGCGUAGAUAUCGAGAGGAACACCUGCGGCGAAGGCGGGUUGCUGGGCUGACACUGACGCUGAUGCGCGAAAGCCAGGGGAGCGAACGGG
rnacentral:rRNA from 1 species